rnacentral:lncRNA from 1 species
AGAACAGGGAUUCUGCUGUAGGGCAAUUUAAAAGUGACUGUUGUUUUUUCUUUGUAUUUUUAUCCCUGAAAAGUUCAACUCUAAUUUUCCUUUUUCAAACUCCAUGUCUUCACCCCAGCUACUCUCCGUGGGCCGUAGUUAGUUGCAUUGAGUCUAGAAAGAACUCCUGGCCAUGUUGUUCCCUCCUCGUGAUAACUCCGCAGUGGAGAUGGAUUCCGUCCAAGACACCGACGUAGCUCUGCUGAACGAUCAGCGCCGCAGUCCAGGCGUUACCUUCCGCUGUGGCAUUUCUCUCGGUGCCUAACAUUCGCUAACGUUCACUGCUGAUGCAGCCGGGGCCUCUCCAACUUAUGGCGUUUACAACAGAAACUACUACAGAAGAGCUCAAGGGAGGAGCUUGUGCCUGCAAAGCUGGACUCUUAGACACAGGGGCCAUUCUGCACGUGUGUGAUGUGUGUGUGAUGUAUGUCUGUGUGCAUGCGUGCGGUAUGCGUGUUUUUCGAUGGAGGAACGGGGGAGUAGAGAGACAAGGAGCAAGAGGGGUGAGAACCUUUGCAAGAAGGAUCUGCGAAUCAUAAAAUGCAUAGAAUGUAAGCUCCUUGUGAUUAAUGAUCUGCACUAAUUUGGAUAGCAGGCAUGGUAAAGGUCAUUGACAAUUGUUGCUGGUUUCAGCAUGAAUGCCUAAGCGGGAUGUAUUCUUGAACAAUCAAAAUUAAGUCAUUCACGGAAAAGAAGUGCCCACAAUUCAUUU